rnacentral:rRNA from 1 species
AUUGAACGCUGGCGGCAGGCCUAACACAUGCAAGUCGAACGAGUGGCGGACGGGUGAGUAAUGUCUGGGAAACUGCCUGAUGGAGGGGGAUAACUACUGGAAACGGUAGCUAAUACCGCAUACCAUCGGAUGUGCCCAGAUGGGAUUAGCAAGUAGGGGGGGUAACGGCUCACCUAGGCGACGAUCCCUAUCUGGCCUGAGAGGAUGACCACCCACACUGGAACUGGACAAGGGUCAGAACUCCUACGGGAGGCAGCAGUGGGGAAUAUUGCACAAGGGGGGCAAGCCUGAUGCAGCCAUGCGGCGUGUAUGAGGAAGGCCUUCGGGUUGUAAAGUACUUUCAGCGGGGAGGCGUUACCCGCAGAAGAAGCACCGGCUAACUCCGUGCCAGCAGCCGCGGUAAUAC